ensembl:rRNA 5S_rRNA 5S ribosomal RNA
GUCUAUGGCUAUACCACCCUGAAUAUGCUGCUUCUCAUCUAAUCCAGGCAGGAUCAGGCCUGUUUUGUAUUUGGAUGGGAGACUGCCUGAGAGUACUGGGGGCUGUAGGCU